rnacentral:sRNA from 1 species
GCCGGGCGCGGUGGUGCAUGCCUGUAAUCCCAGCAGCUCUGGAGGCUGAAAAAGGAGGAUCGCUAGUUCAAAGCCAGCCUCAGCAAAAGUGAGGCACUAAACAACUCAGUGAGACCCUGUCUCUA